GACAGGGGUCUCAAGCGUUAAUCGGAAUCACUGGGCUUAAAGGGUGCGUAGGCGGGCCUGUAAGUGUCCUGUGAAAUCCCCCGGCUCAACCGGGGAACUGCGGGGCAUACUGCGGGUCUUGAGGAAGGUAGGCGCCGAGGGAACAGUAGGUGGAGCGGUGAAAUGCGUAGAUAUCUACUGGAACGCCGAUGGUGAAGACGCUCGGCUGGGCCUUUCCUGACGCUGAAGCACGAAAGCGUGGGGAGCAAACAGG
rnacentral:rRNA from 1 species